rnacentral:rRNA from 1 species
UACGUAGGGUGCGAGCGUUGUCCGGAUUUAUUGGGCGUAAAGAGCUCGUAGGCGGCUCAGAAAGUCGGGUGUGAAACCUCCAGGCUCAACCUGGAGACGCCACCUGAUACUGCUGUGGCUAGAGUCCGGUAGGGGAGCACGGAAUUCCCGGUGUAGCGGUGAAAUGCUUAGAUAUCGGGAGGAACACCAGUGGCGAAGGCGGUGCUCUGGGCCGGAACUGACGCUGAGGAGCGAAAGCGUGGGUAGCAAACAGG